CAAUAGCGUAUAUUUAAGUUGUUGCAGUUAAAAAGCUCGUAGUUGGAUUUCGGAUGGGAUUUGCCGGUCCGUCGUUACGAUGUGCACUGGCCAGUCCUAUCUUGUUGUCGGGGACUAGCUCCUUGGAUUCACUUCCUGGGACUAGGAGCUGACGAGGUUACUUUGAGUAAAUUAGAGUGUUCAAAGCAAGCCUACGCUCUGAAUACAUUAGCAUGGAAUAACACGAUAGGACCCUGGCUUAUCUUGUUGGUCUGUGAGACCAGAGUAAUGAUUAAGAGGGACAGUCGGGGACAUUCGUAUUUCAUUGUCAGAGGUGAAAUUCUUGGAUUUAUGAAAGACGAACUUCUGCGAAAGCAUUUGUCAAGGAUGUUUACAUUAA
rnacentral:rRNA from 1 species